CUAAAUUACCACCAAAUAAAAGGUAGAAAAUUGGAUAAGAAGCUUCUUGUGCUCCUUGAGCUUGAUCUUCUAUAUAAUGACUUGCAAAACUGAAAUAUAUACAACAUCCAGAAACACUAAUAUAUAUCUAUAAAGAGAGGGAGAGAUAUAUGGCAACACAUAAAGGAAGCAAAUUAGCCAUUAAUGGAAAAGGAGACAUGGGACAUAAUGGAAGCGAGACAAGCUUAAGCAAUGGGGUAUUUCCUUUUAAGCCUAAAGUUGGGAGUGUGUUUCCCAAAGAGCAAAAGUCAGUGAAGGCCAUGGCAUGUGAUAAAUUGGGGAAAAUUAUAGUUUCUCCUUUCAAUGAAGACAAGAAAAAGAUAUUUCCGUAAUGCUAGCUCUAGUUUAUCAUCAUUCUAGUUCCAUAUACAUAAAUUAAUAUAUAUAUAUAUAUGUGAACUUUUGUAACUGCAUUAGUAUUAGAAACAAAACAAUUCUGUCCAAGCUUGU
rnacentral:lncRNA from 1 species